UGCAUUUUCAUAAGCGGAGGAAAAGAUACCAACAGGGAUUGCCUUAGUAGCGGCGAGUGAAGCGGCAAAAGCUCAAAUUUGAAAUCUGGCUCUUUCAGAGUCCGAGUUGUAAUUUGAAGAAGGUAUCUUUGGGUCUGGCUCUUGUCUAUGUUUCUUGGAACAGAACGUCACAGAGGGUGAGAAUCCCGUGCGAUGAGAUGAUCCAGGCCUAUGUAAAGUUCCUUCAAAAAGUCGAGUUGUUUGGGAAUGCAGCUCUAAGUGGGUGGUAAAUUCCAUCUAAAGCUAAAUAUUGGCGAGAGACCGAUAGCGAACAAGUACAGGGAUGGAAAGAUGAAAAGAACUUUGAAAAGAGAGUGAAAAAGUACGUGAAAUUGUUGAAAGGGAAGGGCUUGAGAUCAGACUUGGUAUUUUGUAUGUUACUUCUUCGGGGGUGGCCUCUACAGUUUAUCGGGCCAGCAUCAGUUUGGGCGGUAGGAGAAUUGCGUUGGAAUGUGGCACGGCUUCGGUUGUGUGUUAUAGCCUUCGUCGAUCCUGCCAGCCUAGACUGAGGACUGCGGUUUAUACCUAGGAUGUUGGCAUAAUGAUCUUAAGUCGCCCGUCUUGAAACCACGG
rnacentral:rRNA from 1 species